CAGUAGCCGCGGGAACACGAAGGGUGCAAGCGUUAAUCGGAAUUACUGGGCGUAAAGCGUGCGCAGGCGGUUAUAUAAGUCGGAUGUGAAAUCCCCGGGCUCAACCUGGGAACUGCAUUUGAGACUGUAUGGCUAGAGUGUGUCAGAGGGGGGUAGAAUUCCACGGGUAGCAGUGAAAUGCGUAGAUAUGUGGAGGAAUACCGAUGGCGAAGGCAGCCCCCUGGGAUAACACUGACGCUCAUGCACGAAAGCGUGGGGAGCAAACAGGAUUAGAUACCCCGGUAGUCCCUGUCUCUUAUAC
rnacentral:rRNA from 1 species